GGUGGACUAUUCCACUUUUUAGCUCCUAUUGAUGCACCAAAAGCAAGUGCCUCAUUUCUGUGCCAAAUGUUUGCCUUGGUCUUUAAGGACCUCCUUCGUGGACACUCUGAUGUGCCUGUUAGAGGGAAUGUGCCACCAUUCCCUAGAGGCCCCAUGUCUUCCACAGAGGCUUCUAGUGUUCCAGUUACUCAUAUGCAGCUAAACUCCAGAUGGGGGCAGGGGUGGGGCUGAAGUUUGUGCUCUAAGAAGUAUCACAUCCUAUGAUUAUAAGUUUAUAUGCAGAUGUGGCCCAGAGAUCACAGCCCCGCACUCUUUUCCUCCCGCUGGAGGGGGGUGGGGGUGGGGGGAGAGGGCCUAAUUAGAAAUCAGCUGGGCUCUGCUGAAGCCCAGCUUUCCGGUGAAUUGAAUGCCACAAAGGUUGGCAUGGAAUGCAUCCAAGAAGCCACACGAAUGUGCUUUCAAAACUGACCGGUGAGGUAUGAUUUUUACUCAAGAUAAAAGUAGUCAAGGGUAUCAAUGGAUCUGAUCUGAGGAAACACAGGAAGACAGCUCUACAACUGUCUACAACAGCUGGUAGGGCAAGGCUCUGUCUUCUGUGUGUGACGCGUGUAUUGAACAGAACAAGAACAGUAUCAUAGACUAUACCGUGUGCUCAGAAACACUGCGAAAGGAGUAUUGCCCAGGCUUUUGCUACAAGGCCAUCGGUUGGGCACAAGUUAGUACAUUAUUCUAUGAGUAAAUUCAAUGAUGUCCCACCACUUCCAAUAGAUAGCCAGGGUCCCAUUAACCUUCUCAUUAACGGUCUUAUAGUUUCCAGUGUUGGGCUGUAUCCAUGUUAAAAGCCACACUGCAUUUAUCUUCAGUGUCAAAGACAUUGUAAUGCCGCCAUAUCUGUCUUAUCUAUUAGCGCAGUUUUCACUAUUCUAUAUUGUAAAGAAUAUAUAUCCAGUAUGUAAAUGAGUGUUCUAUAAACCUUUUGUAUAGGCAUUUCCUCUGCUCUUUAAAUAUCAGCCUUAUUCAGAGUAUAAUAAAAAUUAUGACCUUGGU
rnacentral:lncRNA from 1 species